rnacentral:rRNA from 1 species
UUGACCUCGGAUCAGGUAGGGAUACCCGCUGAACUUAAGCAUAUCAAUAAGCGGAGGAAAAGAAACCAACAGGGAUUGCCUCAGUAACGGCGAGUGAAGCGGCAAAAGCUCAAAUUUGAAAUCUGGCCCCUUCGGGGCCCGAGUUGUAAUUUGUAGAGGAUGCUUCGGGCGUGGCCGCGGUCUAAGUCCCCUGGAACGGGGCGUCGCAGAGGGUGAGAAUCCCGUCUUCGGCCGGCCGGCUUCGCCCAUGUGAAGCUCCUUCGACGAGUCGAGUUGUUUGGGAAUGCAGCUCUAAAUGGGUGGUAAAUUUCAUCUAAAGCUAAAUACUGGUCGGAGACCGAUAGCGCACAAGUAGAGUGAUCGAAAGAUGAAAAGCACUUUGAAAAGAGAGUUAAACAGCAUGUGAAAUUGUUGAAAGGGAAGCGCUUGCGACCAGAGUCGGCCGCGGGGGUUCAGCGGGCAUUCGUUGCCCGUGCACUCCCCCGUGGCCGGGCCAGCGUCGGUUUCGACGGUCGGUCAAAGGCCCCCGGAAUGUGUCACCCUUCGGGGUGUCUUAUAGCCGGGGGUGCAAUGCGGCCAGUCGGGACCGAGGAACGCGCUUCGGCACGGACGCUGGCUUAAUGGUCGUAAGCGACC